GACAGAGGGUGCAAACGUUGUUCGGAUUUACUGGGCGUAAAGCGUGUGUAGGCGGCUUGGCAAGUUGGAUGUGAAAGCCCACGGCUCAACCGUGGAAGCGCAUCCAAAACUGCUUCGCUCGAGUCUCGGAGAGGAAGGUGGAAUGCUUGGUGUAGAGGUGAAAUUCGUAGAUAUCAAGCAGAACACCAAUGGCGAAGGCAGCACUCUGGGACGUGACUGACGCUGAGACGCGAAAGCGUGGGGAGCAAACAGG
rnacentral:rRNA from 1 species